rnacentral:rRNA from 1 species
UACGGAGGGUGCAAGCGUUAAUCGGAAUUACUGGGCGUAAAGCGCACGCAGGCGGUCUGUCAAGUCGGAUGUGAAAUCCCCGGGCUCAACCUGGGAACUGCAUCCGAAACUGGCAGGCUAGAGUCUUGUAGAGGGGGGUAGAAUUCCAGGUGUAGCGGUGAAAUGCGUAGAGAUCUGGAGGAAUACCGGUGGCGAAGGCGGCCCCCUGGACAAAGACUGACGCUCAGGUGCGAAAGCGUGGGGAGCAAACAGGAUUAGAUACCCUGGUAGUCCACGCCGUAGACGAUGACGACUAGGAGGUGGUGGCCUUGAGGCGUGGCUUCCGGAGCGAACGCGUUAAGUCGACCGCCUGGGGAGUACGGCCGCAAGGUUAAA